CCGGCCGCAGGGAGCUGCUCAUGGCGCGCAGCUUCCCGGAUCCGAUUCUGGCGCGGCCUGAGCUCCACGGCAGGUGGCCCGGCCCUGCAGGGACCCCAGCACCUCCGGGGGCCUCGCGGGAAUUGAGGACGAGCCUCUGGCGUUGGGUGAACCUGGGCGUUUGGUCGGCAACGGCGCCUGCCUGUGGGAGGGGCACCCGAGCAGGGACCGCCUCGAGUGCACUGGGGCCCAGCUAGGGCACUCUCGCGGGACAAUGGGUGUCACGGCAGCCAGCGACCGUUUGUCAUUCACAGCUGCCUGAAAGGAGGACCGCAGUAUUCCCACGCAGGAAGCUUGGACCAAAAGCAGGAAUGCUUAAGGGCGCAUAUGACUUGCCAUGGUAAAAAACAGGAUGCCAACCCAGGCCUGAUGACAUCCACCUCACUAAAAGCUAAGGACUAGGACUUUCUGCUUUAAACAAGGACCCACAUGUGGGUGUUUUCUGUGGGAGAGGGAGAGAGGACAUUCGAAGGGCAGAAGUCUGACCUUUGCAAGCACACGUGAACCACACCAAUGAGAAAUGAAUGGACGAGCCAGAUGCCAAUUUAUAAAUUUCCUACUGCACACCUUGAAUGUGAAAGUACAUGUGGCCGACAAAGAGAAGGGAAGA
rnacentral:lncRNA from 1 species